rnacentral:lncRNA from 13 species
AAAAAAUAUUAUUGUUCCGUAGAAUAUAUCUGUGCUGAUAAAUGUGUCCUGACGACAACACUGCUUUAUUGCCACACUCAAAAAGCGCAAUUCAAGUUGUUGAAUAGAUUGUACCACUGCUUUAACAAAGAAGACGUGUCUGUUGUGGGAUGAUGUAGUUGAAUUUACCGCUAUGUUAAAAAAGAAGACUUGUCUGUUGUGGGAUGAUGUAGUUGAAUUUACCG